rnacentral:rRNA from 1 species
AUUGAACGCUGGCGGCAUGCCUUACACAUGCAAGUCGAACGGCAGCAUGGGGAGCUUGCUCUCUGAUGGCGAGUGGCGAACGGGUGAGUAAUGCAUCGGAACGUACCGUGUAAUGGGGGAUAACGUAGCGAAAGUUACGCUAAUACCGCAUACGACCUGAGGGUGAAAGCAGGGGAUCGCAAGACCUUGCGUUAUACGAGCGGCCGAUGUCAGAUUAGCUAGUUGGUGAGGUAAAGGCUCACCAAGGCGACGAUCUGUAGCGGGUCUGAGAGGAUGAUACGCCACACGGGGACUGAGACACGGCCCAGACUCCUACGGGAGGAAGCAGUGGGGAAUUUUGGACAAUGGGGGCAACCCUGAUCCAGCCAUGCCGCGUGAGUGAAGAAGGCCUUCGGGUUGUAAAGCUCUUUCGGCCGGGAAGAAAUCGCACAGGCUAAUACUCUGUGUGGAUGACGGUACCGGCAUAAGAAGCACCGGCUAACUACGUGCCAGCCGCCGCCGCCG